UGUUGGCUCUUUUUUUUUUAGGACUUUGGUUGUUUUAGUUUCAGGUUUGCGGCAGAUUUGGUUUGGUAAUAGAGUGUCAUCAAUCAAGUUAGGUUUAAAGAAAAUUGGUGUGAAAAAGAAAAAGUGAUUUCAAUUGUUUUUACGCCAAUUGUAAUUUUAUUUUAUCUGCAGUUUUAUUUUUUGCUGGUUUGGUGGUAAGGUGUCACAUGCAAUGGCUGUUGCGCUUGAUGUCUACAACUUGUUUGCGUAUUUACUGACAUUGAUUGUUAUGUAAAUAGUUAUUUUGUACGUAUGUAUGUAUGUAUGUAUGUAUGAUAGAUUUGGUGGUAAGGUGUCAGUAAUCAUGAUAAAUUUGGUGGUAAGGUGCCAGUAAUCAAGGACCAGCUUAGAAUUUGUCGACAAAGUUGGGUGAAUCCAUGUAUGACGUGAGGGUCCUUCGCCACAUUUUAAUGCAGAUUUAUUCCAAUGUAAAUGGUUUUUCAAGCGUGUCUCUUGGAAGGGCUGUUACUCCUGAUGUCUACAAAUUGUUUGAGUUUUUCUAUUUUCAGAUUCAUGAUAAAUUUGGUGGUAAGGUGCCAGUAAUCAAGGACCAGCUUAGAAUUUGUCGACAAAGUUGGGUGAAUCCAUGUAUGACGUGAGGGUCCUUCGCCACAUUUUAAUGCAGAUUUAUUCCAAUGUAAAUGGUUUUUCAAGCGUGUCUCUUGGAAGGGCUGUUACUCCUGAUGUCUACAAAUUGUUUGAGUUUUUCUAUUUUCAGAUUCAUGAUAAAUUUGGUGGUAAGGUGCCAGUAAUCAAGGACCAGCUUAGAAUUUGUCGACAAAGUUGGGUGAAUCCAUGUAUGACGUGAGGGUCCUUCGCCACAUUUUAAUGCAGAUUUAUUCCAAUGUAAAUGGUUUUUCAAGCGUGUCUCUUGGAAGGGCUGUUACUCCUGAUGUCUACAAAUUGUUUUUCUAUUUUCAGAUUCAUGAUAAAUUUGGUGGUAAGGUGUUAAUAAUCAAGGACCAGC
rnacentral:sRNA from 15 species